GCAAAGACAAAGGACCUCUGAGCCGAUCUUCAAUUAUAUCUGACAAGAAUUUAAGCAAGCUAGCUGGGAAGAUAGGCCAAGGAUGGUCACAGUUCGGCAUCCAAAAGCUAGACAUGUCAAAGGUCGACAUUGAUCAUUUUGAACACAACAGAUCAACCAUGGAGGAUACGAUAUUUGGCAUGUUGUAUGAGUGGCGUCAACGUCAUCAUGACGAUGCAACGAUUGGUACACUACUCGAUUUAAUGGAGGAGAGUCCGAAUAUCUCACUGGACUCCUAUAACUUUAUUCUAGAAGAACUGCAAAGCAGUGGUAAAUGAUCUGCAUCAGUGAGCAUUGCGAAAGAUGGCGCCCUUAGUGACCACAUAUCAUGACAGGAACGUCAUCCAGGUGCUAAAAAACGCAGGACUAUUUUUUUUUAUUUGUCAAAUGAAACCAGUGGCGGAUCCC